rnacentral:rRNA from 1 species
GAAUUGCGAUAUGUAAUGUGAAUUGCAGAAUUCAGUGAAUCAUCGAAUCUUUGAACGCACCUUGCACCUCUGGUAUUCCGGAGGGUAUGCCUGUUUGAGUGUCAUUA